CCUACGGGAGGCAGCAGUGAGGAAUAUUGGUCAAUGGACGAGAGGCUGAACCAGCCAAGCAGCGUGAAGGAUGACUGCCCUAUGGGUUGUAAACUUCUUUUAUAUGGGAAUAAAACAGGGUAUGCAUACCCUCAUGCCUGUACCAUAUGAAUAAGGAUCGGCUAACUCCGUGCCAGCAGCCGCGGUAAUACGGAGGAUCCGAGCGUUAUCCGGAUUUAUUGGGUUUAAAGGGUGCGUAGGUGGAUUGUUAAGUCAGUUGUGAAAGUUUGCGGCUCAACCGUAAAAUUGCAGUUGAAACUGGCAGUCUAGAGUACAGUAGAGGUAGGCGGAAUUCGUGGUGUAGCGGUGAAAUGCUUAGAUAUCACGAAGAACUCCGAUUGCGAAGGCAGCUCGCUGGACUGCAACUGACGCUGAUGCGCGAAAGUGUGGGUAUCAAACAGGAUUAGAUACCCUGGUAGUC
rnacentral:rRNA from 1 species